GCUCUCGUGACCCAGUUGGUUAGUGCGUCGUACUUAUGAGCAGUACUUGAAUUAUAUAUGCGAAGGUCGAGGGUUCCAUCCCCUCCGAGAGCA